rnacentral:rRNA from 1 species
GCAAGUCGAGCGCGCCCUUCGGGGUGAGCGGCGGACGGGUGAGUAACGCGUGAGGAUCUGCCUAUAGGACGGGGACAACAGUGGGAAACUGCUGCUAAAACCCGAUGUGCCGAGAGGUGAAAUAUUUAUAGCCUGUAGAUGAGCUCGCGUCUGAUUAGCUAGUUGGUGGGGUAAGAGCUUACCAAGGCGACGAUCAGUAGCUGGUCUGAGAGGACGAUC